CACUUCAAAGAGUGGCAGCUCAACCAGAAGAAACGAUCGGAGUCCUUUCGUUUCCAGCAGGAAAAUCUUAAACGGCUAAGAGACAGCAUCACCCGAAGACAGAGAGAGAAGCAAAAAUCAGGAAAGCAGACAGACUUGGAGAUCACGGUCCCAAUUCGGCACUCACAGCACCUGCCUGCAAAAGUGGAGUUUGGAGUCUAUGAGAGUGGCCCCAGGAAAAGUGUCAUUCCCCCCAGGACGGAGCUGAGACGAGGAGACUGGAAAACAGACAGCACCUCCAGCACAGCAAGUAGCACGAGUAACCGCUCCAGCACCCGGAGCCUCCUCAGUGUGAGCAGCGGGAUGGAAGGGGACAACGAGGUGAGAGCUGGGACUCCACCCCACUUAUCUUGUCCUAGGGGUCAUUUCAUCGCAAGAGAUAGAAACCCAGGUGAAAGGAGCCAGGCACAAAAGGUUUCCAUUUAUAUGAAAUGCCAGAGUGGGCAAAUCCACAGAGACAGUUUGCAGAUUGGUGGUUGCCAGGGGCUGGAGGGAGGAGGAAUGGGAAGAAACUGCUUAAUGGGGACAGGUGUAUUAGGGUUCUCU
rnacentral:sRNA from 1 species